rnacentral:rRNA from 1 species
AGAGUUUGAUCCUGGCUCAGGAUGAACGCUAGCUACAGGCUUAACACAUGCAAGUCGAGGGGCAGCAUGGUCUUAGCUUGCUAAGGUCCGAUGGCGACCGGCGCACGGGUGAGUAACACGUAUCCAACCUGCCGUCUACUCUUGGGACAGCCUUCUGAAAGGAAGAUUAAUACAAGAUGGCAUCAUGAGUUCACAUGUUCACAUGAUUAAAGGUUUUCCGGUAGACGAUGGGGAUGCGUUCCAUUAGAUAGUAGGCGGGGUAACGGCCCACCUAGUCUUCGAUGGAUAGGGGUUCUGAGAGGAAGGUCCCCCACAUUGGAACUGAGACACGGUCCAAACUCCUACGGGAGGCAGAA